UGUUAUUCACCCAGGCUUACAAAGCAUGGCUGAGAAAGCAUGGGGAGGAGCAGCCGCUGCCUGCUGUGGGGCUCACCAAUCACCAGCUUUUCUUCGUGGGAUUUGCUCAGGUAUGGCCCCUUGGGAGAACUCCCUCCAAAGGAAGGAUGCCUUUAGAAGAAGUUGGGGUCAUGCAGGAAAGGUGUUGGGGAAGUGUACUGAGAGAAAGCGUGGUGUCCAGAGCCCAUGAAGGUAGACUUGAGGACAGGGGAAUUUUCUAUAGGAUUUUACUUGAAAGAGAAGGACUGCUGGCUUGAGUGGAAUGGAUGGGGAAAAAAGCAUUGAUUCCCUCCUGUUACUAUGGAGGAAUGUGGAGAAAGAAACUAUAGCUGGGGAAUGCAAAACGGCUUGUUAAGGGUUACCCAGGAAUAAAAUAGGUAGCAGAGUUAGCACCCAGGCAGGGCCUCUAAGUACUUUACACCACAGAAAGCAGCCUUAAAGGGCUCAGGCUUUUCCCACAGCCUUGCCCAUGCUGGGUUACCCACGUGCACUUUAAAGGCUUCAAGGGUCUGAGGAGGCAUGUUCCUCUCUCUUGGAGCUGGCUAAGUCUCCUGCAAUGGCCCCGACAACUCCUGAACUCACCAGCUGGGCAGUGGUGGUUCCUGACCAAGAUGGCUCUGCUGUAGCUGAAGCUAUGGCCUAGCUCCGCUCCACACUAGACACCAUAUGUCCCCAUGUCUGUCCUGGCCCGCAGGUGUGGUGCUCGGUCCGCACACCAGAGAGCUCUCACGAGGGGCUGGUGACCGACCCCCACAGCCCUGCCCGUUUCCGAGUGCUGGGCACUCUCUCCAACUCCCGAGACUUCCUUCGGCACUUCGGCUGCCCUGUCGGCUCCCCCAUGAACCCAGGGCAGCUAUGUGAGGUGUGGUAGACCUGGGUGGGGAAAGAAAUGGGCAACUGUGGCCAGGGACUGGGGCUUCCAAGUUAGGAGAGAGUGAAGAUCAGCUGGUAUGGUUGUCUCUCCACACUGCAAGUGAGAUCAAUCUAGACCCCACCACCACCACCACAUUGUGCCUCUGCUUUAGGGGUGCCUGAGCCUCUAGCAGAGAUUCCACCAUUCACUGUGACAUCCUUUCAUGUGUCACCCUGGAGGGAGUCUAGGCAGAAGUGUCAGUUCCCACAGAGAUGAGUCUGUCUCUUUUGGACUCCAAGCUUACUCAGUUUAGGGGAUCAAGAGGAUAUGCCUGGGGCAUGGCCAUCUCUCCCCAGGGUAUACUGAGUGCUCUAUGAGAUGAGUUCAGCUCCCUUCAGCCCACCCUCAGGCUUCCCCCCACCUAUGUUCCUUACGCUCCUCCUAGUACUGCUGCUCCCUUCAGGACAGACCAACUGAAGUCAUGUGGAAGGCCAAGGGCUCUCUCGGGUGAGAGGAGAAAUAUGUAUGUACAGUGGGUGCUCAAGGUGUGAGUCUUAGGGAUAACUGAUUGUCCCUGGGCCAAAUAGAAAAGCAGAUCGAGUAGAGAAAAGGAAAGAGUUUAUUUUUGCAGGGAAGAGGGUGGGGAGGGUGUGGUCUUGCCUUUAUAGGACCCGUUGCUAAUAAAUAGAUCUAUAUCAGCCAGCCUGUCUCUUCCUUCAGUUCUCUUUUUCCUUACUCAGCCUCUCAUCCCGCCAAUAUUUGAGCAGCUCCAAUAUACUAGUAAUUCUUUACAUACUGACUUACUCGAAGAACUAAGGGAAUGAGCUUUGAAGACCAAGGAGACAAAAGUGGAGAGAGAAGCAUAGUUGGGUCUGCAUGGUCAAAGUAAACGCUUCGCAGCUGGAAGGGUUUGCAGCUGUCCACUGCAUCUGUGGCCAGGGUAUCACUGAAUCUGGGGAGUAAGUGGGUAAGGUCAGCGUGGUUUUGUGUUUUGUUUGUUUGUUUGUUUGUUGUUUUGUUUGUUUUAUUGUUGUUUCCACAGGUCCUCACUAAAUAGUCCUGGUGGCCUGGAACUCACUAUGUAGAUCAGGCUAGCUUUGAACUCAAAGAUCUACUUAUCUCUGCCUCCAAACUUCGGGGUGUGCACCACUACACCCAACUUUUAUUGUUCUUUAAAUUUACUUUUGAUUUGAAUGAUAUACUGGCCACCAGCAAUUUGUGUUUCAAGCACUGAUGAUAAAAUGGCUUCUUUCCUUUGAUGACUCCAGCUAUUUCACUUUUUUAAAAAAAAUCUAUUUUAAUUU
rnacentral:lncRNA from 1 species